rnacentral:rRNA from 1 species
GACUGUUUACCAAAGACAUAGCCCUAGAAAAUAUCUAAGGUGAAACCUGCCCAGUGAUUUAUAAUAAAAUGAAUAAAAAUCAAUUAAAUAAAUUAAAAGGACGCAGUAACCUUGACUGUGAUAAUGUAGCAUAAUAAUUAGCCAUUUAAUUGGUGGAUAGUAUGAAUGGUUAAACGAAUAUUCCACUGUCUUAAAAAGAAAUAAAACAAAAUUAAAAUAAUAGUUAAGAUGCUAUUUAAAAUUGUAAGACGAAAAGACCCUAUAGAGCUUAACUAUAAUUUUUCUAUUAAUAGAAAAACAGGUAGUUUAGUUGGGGCGACUAUCUUCUAAAAAAACGAAGAGAAGAAAAAUUACUGUAUAAUACAUAAAUUUAACAGUUAUAAAAAUAGUUUAUAAAGACCCGUUAAAAUAUAAUAAAAAUAAUUAACGAUCAAUAAAUAAAAGCUACCUUAGGGAUAACAGGAUAAUUUUAUUCUAGAGACCUAAUCAAAAAUAAAGUUUGUCACCUCUAUGUUGAAUUAAGAUAUCCUGACGAUGCAGAAGUUGUCAAAGGUAGGUCUGUUCGACCUUUAAAAUCUUACAUGAUUUGAGUUCAUUCCGUCGCAAGACAGGAAGGUUUCUAUCUU